GGGUUGUGAGGUUAAGCGACUAAGCGUACACGGUGGAUGCCCUGGCAGUCAGAGGCGAUGAAGGACGUGCUAAUCUGCGAAAAGCGUCGGUAAGGUGAUAUGAACCGUUACAGCCGGCGAUGUCCGAAUGGGGAAACCCAGUGUGAUUCGUCACACUAUCGUUAACUGAAUACAUAGGUUAACGAGGCGAACCGGGGGAACUGAAACAUCUAAGUACCCCGAGGAAAAGAAAUCAACCGAGAUUCCCCCAGUAGCGGCGAGCGAACGGGGAGCAGCCCAGAGUCUGAAUCAGCUUGUGUGUUAGUGGAACGGUCUGGAAAGUCCGACGGUACAGGGUGAUAGUCCCGUACACCAAAAUGCACAGGCUGUGAACUCGAAGAGUAGGGCGGGACACGUGGUAUCCUGUCUGAAUAUGGGGGGACCAUCCUCCAAGGCUAAAUACUCCUGACUGACCGAUAGUGAACCAGUACCGUGAGGGAAAGGCGAAAAGAACCCCGGCGAGGGGAGUGAAAAAGAACCUGAAACCGUGUACGUACAAGCAGUGGGAGCACCUUCGGGUGUGACUGCGUACCUUUUGUAUAAUGGGUCAGCGACUUAUAUUCUGUAGCAAGGUUAACCGUAUAGGGGAGCCGCAGGGAAACCGAGUCUUAACUGGGCGUUAAGUUGCAGGGUAUAGACCCGAAACCCGGUGAUCUAGCCAUGGGCAGGUUGAAGGUUGGGUAACACUAACUGGAGGACCGAACCGACUAAUGUUGAAAAAUUAGCGGAUGACUUGUGGCUGGGGGUGAAAGGCCAAUCAAACCGGGAGAUAGCUGGUUCUCCCCGAAAGCUAUUUAGGUAGCGCCUCGUGAACUCAUCUUCGGGGGUAGAGCACUGUUUCGGCUAGGGGGUCAUCCCGACUUACCAACCCGAUGCAAACUACGAAUACCGAAGAAUGUUAUCACGGGAGACACACGGCGGGUGCUAACGUCCGUCGUGAAGAGGGAAACAACCCAGACCGCCAGCUAAGGUCCCAAAGUCAUGGUUAAGUGGGAAACGAUGUGGGAAGGCACAGACAGCCAGGAUGUUGGCUUAGAAGCAGCCAUCAUUUAAAGAAAGCGUAAUAGCUCACUGGUCGAGUCGGCCUGCGCGGAAGAUGUAACGGGGCUAAACCAUGCACCGAAGCUGCGGCAGCGACACUAUGUGUUGUUGGGUAGGGGAGCGUUCUGUAAGCCUGCGAAGGUGACCUGUGAGGGUUGCUGGAGGUAUCAGAAGUGCGAAUGCUGACAUAAGUAACGAUAAAGCGGGUGAAAAGCCCGCUCGCCGGAAGACCAAGGGUUCCUGUCCAACGUUAAUCGGGGCAGGGUGAGUCGACCCCUAAGGCGAGGCCGAAAGGCGUAGUCGAUGGGAAACAGGUUAAUAUUCCUGUACUUGGUGUUACUGCGAAGGGGGGACGGAGAAGGCUAUGUUAGCCGGGCGACGGUUGUCCCGGUUUAAGCAUGUAGGCUGGUUGUCCAGGCAAAUCCGGAUAAUCAAGGCUGAGGUGUGAUGACGAGGCACUACGGUGCUGAAGUAACAAAUGCCCUGCUUCCAGGAAAAGCCUCUAAGCAUCAGGUAACAUCAAAUCGUACCCCAAACCGACACAGGUGGUCAGGUAGAGAAUACCAAGGCGCUUGAGAGAACUCGGGUGAAGGAACUAGGCAAAAUGGUGCCGUAACUUCGGGAGAAGGCACGCUGGUGUGUAGGUGAAGUCCCUGCGGAUGGAGCUGAGACCAGUCGAAGAUACCAGCUGGCUGCAACUGUUUAUUAAAAACACAGCACUGUGCAAACACGAAAGUGGACGUAUACGGUGUGACGCCUGCCCGGUGCCGGAAGGUUAAUUGAUGGGGUUAUCCGUAAGGAGAAGCUCUUGAUCGAAGCCCCGGUAAACGGCGGCCGUAACUAUAACGGUCCUAAGGUAGCGAAAUUCCUUGUCGGGUAAGUUCCGACCUGCACGAAUGGCGUAAUGAUGGCCAGGCUGUCUCCACCCGAGACUCAGUGAAAUUGAACUCGCUGUGAAGAUGCAGUGUACCCGCGGCAAGACGGAAAGACCCCGUGAACCUUUACUAUAGCUUGACACUGAACAUUGAGCCUUGAUGUGUAGGAUAGGUGGGAGGCUUUGAAGCGUGGACGCCAGUCUGCGUGGAGCCAACCUUGAAAUACCACCCUUUAAUGUUUGAUGUUCUAACGUUGGCCCCUUACCGGGGUUGCGGACAGUGUCUGGUGGGUAGUUUGACUGGGGCGGUCUCCUCCCAAAGCGUAACGGAGGAGCACGAAGGUUAGCUAAUCCUGGUCGGACAUCAGGAGGUUAGUGCAAUGGCAUAAGCUAGCUUGACUGCGAGCGUGACGGCGCGAGCAGGUGCGAAAGCAGGUCAUAGUGAUCCGGUGGUUCUGAAUGGAAGGGCCAUCGCUCAACGGAUAAAAGGUACUCCGGGGAUAACAGGCUGAUACCGCCCAAGAGUUCAUAUCGACGGCGGUGUUUGGCACCUCGAUGUCGGCUCAUCACAUCCUGGGGCUGAAGUAGGUCCCAAGGGUAUGGCUGUUCGCCAUUUAAAGUGGUACGCGAGCUGGGUUUAGAACGUCGUGAGACAGUUCGGUCCCUAUCUGCCGUGGGCGCUGGAGAAUUGAGGGGGGCUGCUCCUAGUACGAGAGGACCGGAGUGGACGCAUCACUGGUGUUCGGGUUGUCAUGCCAAUGGCACUGCCCGGUAGCUAAAUGCGGAAGAGAUAAGUGCUGAAAGCAUCUAAGCACGAAACUUGCCCCGAGAUGAGUUCUCCCUGAGACUUUAAGUCUCCUGAAGGAACGUUGAAGACGACGACGUUGAUAGGCCGGGUGUGUAAGCGCAGCGAUGCGUUGAGCUAACCGGUACUAAUGAACCGUGAGGCUUAACCUUACAACGCCGAAG
rnacentral:rRNA from 1 species